AGAUUGAACGCUGGCGGCAUGCCUUACACAUGCAAGUCGAACGGCAGCACGGGAGCAAUCCUGGUGGCGAGUGGCGAACGGGUGAGUAAUACAUCGGAACGUGCCCAAUCGUGGGGGAUAACGCAGCGAAAGCUGUGCUAAUACCGCAUAAGAUCUACGGAUGAAAGCGAGGGAUCGCAAGACCUUGCGCGAAUGGAGCGGCCGA
rnacentral:rRNA from 1 species